rnacentral:rRNA from 1 species
AUUGAACGCUGGCGGCAGGCCUAACACAUGCAAGUCGAGCGGUAGAGAGAAGCUUGCUUCUCUUGAGAGCGGCGGACGGGUGAGUAAUGCCUAGGAAUCUGCCCGGUAGUGGGGGAUAACGUUCGGAAACGGACGCUAAUACCGCAUACGUCCUACGGGAGAAAGCAGGGGACCUUCGGGCCUUGCGCUAUCAGAUGAGCCUAGGUCGGAUUAGCUAGUUGGUGGGGUAAUGGCUCACCAAGGCGACGAUCCGUAACUGGUCUGAGAGGAUGAUCAGUCACACUGGAACUGAGACACGGUCCAGACGCCUACGGGAGGAAGCAGUGGGGAAUAUUGGACAAUGGGCGAAAGCCUGAUCCAGCCAUGCCGCGUGUGUGAAGAAGGUCUUCGGAUUGUAAAGCACUUUAAGUUGGGAGGAAGGGCAGUAAAUUAAUACUUUGCUGUCUUGACGUUACCGACAGAAUAAGCACCGGCUAACUCUGUGCCAGCCGCCGCCGUAA